AUACGGAGGGUGCAAGCGUUAAUCGGAAUUACUGGGCGUAAAGCGUACGUAGGCGGCAAGUUAAGUUAGAUGUGAAAGCCCCGGGCUCAACCUGGGAACUGCAUUUAAAACUGGCUUGCUAGAGUUGAGUAGAGGGGAGUGGAAUUUCAGGUGUAGCGGUGAAAUGCGUAGAGAUCUGAAGGAACACCAGUGGCGAAGGCGACUCCCUGGACUCGAACUGACGCUGAGGUACGAAAGCGUGGGUAGCAAACGGGAUUAGAUACCCUAGUAGUCC
rnacentral:rRNA from 1 species